GAUGAGUGGUCGAUGUCAGUAACUAAUAAUAUAUCAACAUAUUUUACAGGCUGUUCAGUUAAUGGGCCGAACAUGCAAUGUGAUACGAACAACGGAGGUGGUAGCUGUAAUUUCAACUAUAUGAUAGCAGCCGUUUCCUGCAAAGAACCAGGUUAUAUUGGAUGUUUC